rnacentral:rRNA from 1 species
UAGGGAGCGAGCGUUGUCCGGAUUUACUGGGUGUAAAGGGUGCGUAGGCGGCUCGGCAAGUCAGAAGUGAAAUCCAUGGGCUUAACCCGUGAACUGCUUUUGAAACUGUCGGACUUGAGUGAAGUAGAGGUAGGCGGAAUUCCCGGUGUAGCGGUGAAAUGCGUAGAGAUCGGGAGGAACACCAGUGGCGAAGGCGGCCUACUGGGCUUUAACUGACGCUGAGGCACGAAAGCAUGGGUAGCAAA